UACGGCCAUAUGAGGUUGAAACACCAGUUCCCGUAGGGUCACCGAAGUUAAGCAAUGUCAAGCCUGGUCAUUACCUGGAUGGGUGACCGCUUGGAAAUACCAG